UGUACUCACGGCCUUCAAUCAGUUUAGGCACCUGAAGCAAAAAACAAGUGGAGGAUGUCAAUAAUGAAGAGUUACUAUCAUGUUUAUCGCUGACAGUGGUUGAAGAAUUGGAGAUGGCACAGCCUCCGUCGUCCAGAGGGGGGCUCCAGGAGAUCACCAUGUGGUUUCUGUAGACCUCGUUGAACACCACAGGACCCUGUGGAGGCUGAGGACGAUCUGGCAGGAGGAAUAAUUCACACAGAUGGAGACUUACAGAUGGGGUCCUUGAUCAUCACCAUCUUGUCUGUCUCGAUGAAGGGUCCCAUGCCGAUGAUGUUCUCUGCUGC